rnacentral:rRNA from 1 species
UACGGGGGGGGCAAGCGUUGUUCGGAAUUACUGGGCGUAAAGGGCUCGUAGGUGGCCAACUAAGUCAGACGUGAAAUCCCUCGGCUUAACCGGGGAACUGCGUCUGAUACUGGAUGGCUUGAGUUUGGGAGAGGGACGCGGAAUUCCAGGUGUAGCGGUGAAAUGCGUAGAUAUCUGGAGGAACACCGGUGGCGAAGGCGGCGUCCUGGGCCAACACUGACACUGAGGAGCGAAAGCCAGGGGAGCAAACGGG